rnacentral:lncRNA from 1 species
AGUAACGGACUAAAGAUUGCACAGUUAAUGGCAAAAAAGAUGGUACCUUCGUACCACUAACUCUUAUGAAAUAUAUGCCUGUUCAAGUAUCAAACAUAAUCUUGCUCAAACUUUGCCAAAAACCCUUCAUGGCAGCUGUACGUACCACUUCUCACUGCAUUGAUUGCAGUAGACGCGAAAUUGCUUUCGUCAGCAUGUGGUCCUUCCUUUCCUCAAAUAUGUAACAGCUCAGGGAAAUAUAUGUGAUUUCCGAGGUGGUCCUCUUAUGCUAUAUAAUGUUAACAAAACAUCACUGAAGCUCACAAGCAAACUGGG